GGAGGCCCCUGUUUCCCUCAUAGAGCUACAAUUCACAGGUUUCCCUGUAUUAAACCCUCUGGAAAUUGUUGCUCUGUGAGGGGAAUAGGGACCUC